AACGCGAAGAACCUUACCAGCCCUUGACAUGCCGGUCGCGGGAACCAGAGAUGGAUCCCUUCAGUUCGGCUGGACCGGACACAGGUGCUGCAUGGCUGUCGUCAGCUCGUGUCGUGAGAUGUUGGGUUAAGUCCCGCAACGAGCGCAACCCUCGUCCUCUGUUGCCAUCAGGUCAAGCUGGGCACUCUGAGGAGACUGCCGGUGAUAAACCGGAGGAAGGCGGGGAUGACGUCAAGUCCUCAUGGCCCUUAUGGGCUGGGCUACACACGUGCUACAAUGGUGGUGACAGUGGGCAGCGAGAUCGCGAGAUCGAGCCAAUCUCCAAAAGCCAUCUCAGUUCGGAUCGCAGUCUGCAACUCGACUGCGUGAAGUCGGAAUCGCUAGUAAUCGCAGAUCAGCAUUGCUGCGGUGAAUACGUUCCCGGGCCUUGUACACACCG
rnacentral:rRNA from 1 species